CUACGGGACGCACCAGUGGGGAAUAUUGCACAAUGGGCGAAAGCCUGAUGCAGCAACGCCGCGUGAGGGACGACGGCCUUCGGGUUGUAAACCUCUUUUAGCAGGGAAGAAGCGAAAGUGACGGUACCUGCAGAAAAAGCACCGGCUAACUACGUGCCAGCAGCCGCGGUAAUACGUAGGGCGCAAGCGUUGUCCGGAAUUAUUGGGCGUAAAGAGCUCGUAGGCGGUUUGUCGCGUCUGCUGUGAAAAUCCGAGGCUCAACCUCGGACCUGCAGUGGGUACGGGCAAACUAGAGUGCGGUAGGGGAGAUUGGAAUUCCUGGUGUAGCGGUGGAAUGCGCAGAUAUCAGGAGGAACACCAAUGGCGAAGGCAGAUCUCUGGGCCGUAACUGACGCUGAGGAGCGAAAGCGUGGGGAGCGAACAGGAUUAGAUACCCUGGUAGUC
rnacentral:rRNA from 1 species